rnacentral:lncRNA from 1 species
UCCUGUCAAUAUUUUUAUUGAUAUUUAUGUCUAAGUCAGCCGUGUGAAAACACGACUAGAGAAGCAGGAUUGCAACAAUAACAUACAGAUUUGGAAUCCAUAUUACAAACAUUUGGUAGAAAUCUAUCUAUCCAGUAGCUAGAAACAUAUAUGUACUGUAUCUAUCUAUGAAGAUACUGAACAUACUUACAGACUAUACAUAGGUGCACACAAAAAUAAAGGUAUUUAAAAAAAUUAAAAAAUAAGUCAGUUGGUUAGACUCACAUGAUCUUGUUUCACCCUCUAGUGGAAUAUCUGCACAUUGCAGAUUUUUCAAGGACCCUGAAUGUCAUUGUGUUUUAGGCUUCAAUCCUAUUCUGAAACCAAACCUCGCAGGAAGAUAAAAGUUUCCAUUCUGGUUGUAAAGUUUGAUAAAAUCCAUUUAAGAUCAAGCUUUAUAAAAUCUGGAGGCCAUGUUUGCCUUUCAGAAUUAGCAAGUUGGGAUGUCAGAUGUUGGCAUUUGUUGUUUAGUCGUGUCCGACUCUUCGUGACCCCAUGGACCAGAGUACGCCAGGCACUCCUGUCUUCCACUGCCUCCCAGUUUGGUCAAACUCAUGCUGGUAGCUUCGAGAACACUGUCCAACCAUCUUGUCCUCCAGGGAGUCUUCUGUUCUCAUGAGGUGGCCAAAGUCUUGGAGCUUCAGCUUCAGGAUCUGUCCUUCCAGUGAGCACUCGGGGCUGAUUUCCUUCAGAAUGGAUAGGUUUGAUCUUCUUGCAGUCCACAGGACUCUCAAGAGUCUCCUCCAGCACUAUAAUUCAAAAGCAUCAAUUCUUCGGCGAUCAGCCUUCUUUAUGAUCCAGCUCUCACUUCCAUAUUGCCUGGUAAUUUAGUAAAUGUAUGAAGUUUUGUAGCUUAUCUGAAAUUCAGUUAUACCAUUGUAUAUUUCUCAUCAUCUCUAGAACAGCAAAGUAUUAAUGUGAUAGCUGGUUCUUGUGUGUGUGUUUGUGUGUGUGUAUACUGUAUAUAUUCCUAAUAUUUACACAUCUUUAGGGCAGAGUGAUUUACAAAUUCAUCAAACAAAAUAACAAUCAGGAACAGCAUUCUUUAACUUCCUUAUUGAUGUUGAACAUUUUAUCCCACUCUUCACAGGAAAACAAAGAGGUGAACAACAAAUGCAAAUGACAUUUUUCUUAAAUAAAAAUGCACUAAUAGGAGACACGUGGAAGUGUUUUUUCCUGGACCGUCGUCCUGCUUCUCAAAAAUCGUUGUGAUAUCUAUCAGGUCGCAUGCGACACUGCCGUUUCACUUGCACGACAGGCUUCCCACUUGUGCAAGGCAACGUCCCCAACCUCUCUCCUUCGGCCCCCACCAGCAAGGACCCUCUGGGGCAGAUUCAAAGAAGAGGAAGUCCCCUUGUGCAAAUAGGAUGCUGCUCACAGAGCUUUGGAUGAACCCAUUAUCUCAUUAUCAGCUCUCUGAUUAUUAUUUUUUUGCCUACAUUAUGCAUUUAUUUAUUUAUUUAGUAAAUUUACAAACCAUUUGCUUGAAAAAAAAAUAUUUAGGUGGUGCCGAAGUCUAAUUAUACAUGUCCUGGCAUCCACCUGUCUCAGGAGGCAAUGGAAGAAUUUACGUUUUGGGGAUGAGAUCAAAUUUGGUACAGCACACAAACCAUUAUUAUAAUAAUUUAUAUACAGUGGUACCUCGCAAGACGAAUGCCUCGCAAGACAAAAAACUCGCUAGAUGAAAGGGUUUUUUGUUUUUUGAGCUGCUUUGCAAGACGAUUUUCCCUAUGGGGUUGCUUCGCAAGACGAAACGUCUUGCAAGUUUGUUUCCUUUUUCUUAACACCGUUAAUACAGUUGUGACUUGACUUCGAGGAGCAACUCAUAGAACGCGGUGUGGUAGCCUUUUUUGAGGUUUUUAAAGACUUUGGUGAUUUUUGAAGCUUUUCCAAAACUUUCCCGACACUGUGCUUCGCAAGACGAAAAAAAUCGCAAAACGACAAAACUCGCGGAACGAAUUAAUUUCGUCUUGCGAGGCACCACUGUACCGUCCUAUACCCGGAGGUCUCAGAGCAGUUCACAGAAUAAAAUCAAAAUAUAAAACCACAAAAUACAUAAUCAAAAUAAAAACAACCCAGUAAAUCCCCACCCCAAAAAAAUACCUUUUAAAAGGACAUAGGAUCCUCAAAUCAUUUAAAGUAAGACAAUUAACAAACCUUGACAAGAGCCACUAGUUGGAAAAAAACCAUGAUCUCAGAAAUGUUUGCAGCAAUAUUUAAAUGUUAUCAGCAAUAUAUACAAAAACCCCUACUUAAAAAAACAAAACAGAUAAAAUGUAUUAUUAUUAUUAUUAUUAUUAAUCGCCUAUAUGUGAACAUCUCAAGGUGAUGUAC